UUAAGCGACUAAGCGUACACGGUGGAUGCCCUGGCAGUCAGAGGCGAUGAAGGACGUGCUAAUCUGCGAUAAGCGUCGGUAAGGUGAUAUGAACCGUUAUAACCGGCGAUUUCCGAAUGGGGAAACCCAGUGUGAUUCGUCACACUAUCAUUAACUGAAUCCAUAGGUUAAUGAGGCGAACCGGGGGAACUGAAACAUCUAAGUACCCCGAGGAAAAGAAAUCAACCGAGAUUCCCCCAGUAGCGGCGAGCGAACGGGGAGCAGCCCAGAGCCUGAAUCAGUGUGUGUGUUAGUGGAAGCGUCUGGAAAGGCGCGCGAUACAGGGUGACAGCCCCGUACACAAAAAUGCACAUGCUGUGAGCUCGAUGAGUAGGGCGGGACACGUGGUAUCCUGUCUGAAUAUGGGGGGACCAUCCUCCAAGGCUAAAUACUCCUGACUGACCGAUAGUGAACCAGUACCGUGAGGGAAAGGCGAAAAGAACCCCGGCGAGGGGAGUGAAAAAGAACCUGAAACCGUGUACGUACAAGCAGUGGGAGCACGCUUAGGCGUGUGACUGCGUACCUUUUGUAUAAUGGGUCAGCGACUUAUAUUCUGUAGCAAGGUUAACCGAAUAGGGGAGCCGAAGGGAAACCGAGUCUUAACUGGGCGUUAAGUUGCAGGGUAUAGACCCGAAACCCGGUGAUCUAGCCAUGGGCAGGUUGAAGGUUGGGUAACACUAACUGGAGGACCGAACCGACUAAUGUUGAAAAAUUAGCGGAUGACUUGUGGCUGGGGGUGAAAGGCCAAUCAAACCGGGAGAUAGCUGGUUCUCCCCGAAAGCUAUUUAGGUAGCGCCUCGUGAAUUCAUCUCCGGGGGUAGAGCACUGUUUCGGCAAGGGGGUCAUCCCGACUUACCAACCCGAUGCAAACUGCGAAUACCGGAGAAUGUUAUCACGGGAGACACACGGCGGGUGCUAACGUCCGUCGUGAAGAGGGAAACAACCCAGACCGCCAGCUAAGGUCCCAAAGUCAUGGUUAAGUGGGAAACGAUGUGGGAAGGCCCAGACAGCCAGGAUGUUGGCUUAGAAGCAGCCAUCAUUUAAAGAAAGCGUAAUAGCUCACUGGUCGAGUCGGCCUGCGCGGAAGAUGUAACGGGGCUAAACCAUGCACCGAAGCUGCGGCAGCGACGCUGAUGCGUUGUUGGGUAGGGGAGCGUUCUGUAAGCCUGUGAAGGUGUGCUGUGAGGCAUGCUGGAGGUAUCAGAAGUGCGAAUGCUGACAUAAGUAACGAUAAAGCGGGUGAAAAGCCCGCUCGCCGGAAGACCAAGGGUUCCUGUCCAACGUUAAUCGGGGCAGGGUGAGUCGACCCCUAAGGCGAGGCCGAAAGGCGUAGUCGAUGGGAAACAGGUUAAUAUUCCUGUACUUGGUGUUACUGCGAAGGGGGGACGGAGAAGGCUAUGUUGGCCGGGCGACGGUUGUCCCGGUUUAAGCGUGUAGGCUGGUUUUCCAGGCAAAUCCGGAAAACUAAGGCUGAGGCGUGAUGACGAGGCACUACGGUGCUGAAGCAACAAAUGCCCUGCUUCCAGGAAAAGCCUCUAAGCAUCAGGUAACAUCAAAUCGUACCCCAAACCGACACAGGUGGUCAGGUAGAGAAUACCAAGGCGCUUGAGAGAACUCGGGUGAAGGAACUAGGCAAAAUGGUGCCGUAACUUCGGGAGAAGGCACGCUGAUAUGUAGGUGAAGUCCCUCGCGGAUGGAGCUGAAAUCAGUCGAAGAUACCAGCUGGCUGCAACUGUUUAUUAAAAACACAGCACUGUGCAAACACGAAAGUGGACGUAUACGGUGUGACGCCUGCCCGGUGCCGGAAGGUUAAUUGAUGGGGUUAGCGCAAGCGAAGCUCUUGAUCGAAGCCCCGGUAAACGGCGGCCGUAACUAUAACGGUCCUAAGGUAGCGAAAUUCCUUGUCGGGUAAGUUCCGACCUGCACGAAUGGCGUAAUGAUGGCCAGGCUGUCUCCACCCGAGACUCAGUGAAAUUGAACUCGCUGUGAAGAUGCAGUGUACCCGCGGCAAGACGGAAAGACCCCGUGAACCUUUACUAUAGCUUGACACUGAACAUUGAGCCUUGAUGUGUAGGAUAGGUGGGAGGCUUUGAAGUGUGGACGCCAGUCUGCAUGGAGCCGACCUUGAAAUACCACCCUUUAAUGUUUGAUGUUCUAACGUUGACCCGUAAUCCGGGUUGCGGACAGUGUCUGGUGGGUAGUUUGACUGGGGCGGUCUCCUCCUAAAGAGUAACGGAGGAGCACGAAGGUUGGCUAAUCCUGGUCGGACAUCAGGAGGUUAGUGCAAUGGCAUAAGCCAGCUUGACUGCGAGCGUGACGGCGCGAGCAGGUGCGAAAGCAGGUCAUAGUGAUCCGGUGGUUCUGAAUGGAAGGGCCAUCGCUCAACGGAUAAAAGGUACUCCGGGGAUAACAGGCUGAUACCGCCCAAGAGUUCAUAUCGACGGCGGUGUUUGGCACCUCGAUGUCGGCUCAUCACAUCCUGGGGCUGAAGUAGGUCCCAAGGGUAUGGCUGUUCGCCAUUUAAAGUGGUACGCGAGCUGGGUUUAGAACGUCGUGAGACAGUUCGGUCCCUAUCUGCCGUGGGCGCUGGAGAACUGAGGGGGGCUGCUCCUAGUACGAGAGGACCGGAGUGGACGCAUCACUGGUGUUCGGGUUGUCAUGCCAAUGGCACUGCCCGGUAGCUAAAUGCGGAAGAGAUAAGUGCUGAAAGCAUCUAAGCACGAAACUUGCCCCGAGAUGAGUUCUCCCUGACUCCUUGAGAGUCCUGAAGGAACGUUGAAGACGACGACGUUGAUAGGCCGGGUGUGUAAGCGCAGCGAUGCGUUGAGCUAACCGGUACUAAUGAACCGUGAGGCUUAACCUU
rnacentral:rRNA from 1 species